AGCCGGUCCCGGGAGCAGCUGGCCGGCCAGUGUUUCCCGGGCGCAGGGCUCAGGGCGCAGCCUGUGCUUCCGAGACAACUGCAGAGUAGGGCGGCUCGGGCUAACCUGCUCCCUCGCCCGGCCCGUCGCCGCCACCGCCACCGCCAAGCGCGGUGUCGCGAGUGCCGGAAUACACUCGAUUACAAUUACUACACUUGCAGAGUCUGGAGUAAAAAAGACCGACUGACACGCCCUCUCCACUGCGGUCCAGCCUUCAGAGGCAACAGAAUAAAGUGACUUGGAAGCCGACUCUUCUGUGAAGCUGACUGACUUAGACAUGAGUGUAGUUGAAGGGUUUGGGCAGCCGCAGCUGCAGACCAGCUGGGCUGUGGUCAGUGAACAUAGCCUCCCGUCCCACAACAGCUCCCACAGAAGCCAGGCCUGGACAAUCUAGAGGCCUUGGGAACCAGCUGGCAGGUUCCAUUGCCUUCGUGGUGAUCUGGAUGGUGGGGAGGCUUGCUGGCUUCUUAUUCUUCUGGCCCGGGGGGCAGAUCCCUUUGGGUUUUAUUUUGCAAUCAUCUACUGAGUUCCUUCCCUACAACA